ACGUCUUCUUCCCGCUUUCUCCUGAAUUACUGGGCGUAAAGGGCGUGUAGGCGGCACGGUAAGUCACCCGUGAAAGCUCCCGGCUAAACUGGGAGAGGUCGGAUGAGACUGCCGAGCUAGAGGGUCGUAGAGGGGUGUGGAAUUCCGGGUGUAGUGGUGAAAUGCGUAGAGAUCCGGAGGAACACCAGAGGCGAAGGCGGCACCCUGGACGACACCAGACGCUGAGACGCGACAGCACGGGGAGCGAACGG
rnacentral:rRNA from 1 species